CGUCCUCGGGUGGGCUCGAACCACCAACCUUUCGGUUAACAGCCGAACGCGCUAGCCGAUUGCGCCACGGAGAC
rnacentral:tRNA from 1 species